GCGAAAUCAAAACAAAACAAAUUUGCAUUCGGAGAAGUGGAAUUAGUGCUCAAACUUUCUUAUUUAGAUUGUGAUUGUAUAGCGUAGAAUAGUAAUCGAAUGCAGGUGUUGGCAGGUUGUGGAACGCCAGAAAUAAUUAUUAAGUUAUACGUCCGCGGAGUACACGGUGGUAAAACGAUACAUAGCGAUAAAUCCGAAAGCUGAUCAGGUCGAAUCCGAUCGAUUAGCGCUGGAACGAUUCGCUAUAAGUACCACAGGGAAUGGAUUGAAAAGAUCGCAGAGGAAGGAAGACUAUUUCUUUUUGAGCUGAUCGUAAAAAGGACUGCUACAAAAAAAUAGUAAUUUCUCUGACAAUUCCGAACAAACUCAAAAAGAAAUAACGG